UUUCAUUUUUUAACUAUCCUUAAUUUCGUAACUAAACCUUGUUUCAAUUUAAGCAAUUGAGCCGUAAUUGCUAGCUCCGAUAUGGUCGCGUGUUGCUACGACAACUGUUAAUAAACAAAAAAGAUGUACAUGUAUCAAUUGUGUAAUUCCCAUCAUGCAUAUUUCUCACGCAUUUGCCAUUGACCUUUGCUUCCCCUUCUCACUGCACUUAACCCUUCACCCCAUUGUUUGGCGCUACCUACUCUGGUAUCCUCAGUGUUUGUGCUCUUUGUAGGUUACCAUACCCCUCGCCCCCUGCACAGGGGUUGACGUAACGCUAUGCCAGGAGUCGGCGCUACACGGGGAGCCGUCGUGGGAAGGCAGCGGUGGCUUGCGGCCAGCUGAACUGUAUUGGCUGAGCGCCAGUCAGGACGAGCGCUGAUGGGAAUCUACGUGUAGGCUUCAAAGGCAGCCGAUACGGUCGCUUACUCCAUGGAAAGGAUGUGAGGCUGACGGAUCAGAACCACUACAUCAAAAACCAAUGUAGAUCAGUGAUGCAGUCAUGAUCCACCCAUAAUGAAUGCAGAUGAAAAGGCACAGAUGCUGAUCAUGACAUGGUGCUGUGCUGAGUACCAGUCUUCAGGCUACUCGGAUAAAAGAGGCGCUGCUGGGCCCCCGGUCAUGUCCUCAACUCAAGGAACGUGAAACUGGCACCUCACUCGACCUCCCUGCUGAGGCCCAGCCCAGUGAUGAUGCACAUGAGAGGUCUGUCAAAUCUUGUAGAAGGAACAACCCAAAUGAUCUCUUGACCCGAAACUUCUGUGGUGCACGUGGCAGAGUAACAUGUGAUAACAUAUCGUUGGAUUAAAAAAAAAACAUAAAACAUUUAUUCUGAUCCAGACCUUGCCUUGGUGUCAAUUUUUUUUCUAAUCACUAACUAAAAAAACUGCACGGAAAUCAAAGGGAUCAAUGUAGGUCACUGGAAAAGAACCUCUCCUUUUCACUUACCGAGGGCAACGGUCAGGUAUUACCAACACCAUUGAGAGUUGGCUUUUCCAUAUUCGAUUGUAAGGUAUCACAGGAAGAUAAAAGUUAUGACUAGAUAUCUACUUUGACAGCACUUUCCCACAAGACAAGUAAGCACUCAAACUCAUCUGCUCAUGAUUUAGUUUUAGCCUUGUUCCUUCGACAGAAUCAUAUCAGGUCAAUACAGACUAAAGCUAUGAUUAAACUACUUAACUUUACGGUUCAAAUCAACAUUUAUUCUGAGGUCAAAAAAAGUGCCACAAGUCAUGCUUGACAAACGGAGGGUUUACUACAACCAGAUACAUGUGUCCGACGCUCAAACAUUUCUUUCACUUCCUCUACAUGGUGUGCGGAGAACAACCUCAUCCUCAACACCUCAAAGAACAAAGAGCUGAUCGUUGAUUAUAGGAGGAAUAAGCCGGACAUUCAGCCCAUCUAUAUGAACGUGGAGAGCGGGCUCAUGAUUUAGUUUUAGCAUUGUUCCUUCGACAGAAUCAUAUUAGGUCAAUACAGACUAAAGCUAUCGGCCAUGUGAGGUUAACGUUUGAAAUGAUUAAACUACUUAACUUUACGGUUCAAAUCAACAUUUAUUCUGAGGUCAAAAAAAGUGCCACAAGUCAUGCUUGACAAACGGGUUUACUACAAC
ensembl:lncRNA